GGGGAAUAUUGGACAAUGGGCGAAAGCCUGAUCCAGCAAUGCCGCGUGAGUGAUGAAGGCCUUAGGGUUGUAAAGCUCUUUUACCCGGGAAGAUAAUGACUGUACCGGGAGAAUAAGCCCCGGCUAACUCCGUGCCAGCAGCCGCGGUAAUACGGAGGGGGCCAGCGUUGUUCGGAAUUACUGGGCGUAAAGCGCACGUAGGCGGCUUUGCAAGUUAGAGGUGAAAGCCCGGGGCUCAACCCCGGAAUUGCCUUUAAGACUGCAGGGCUAGAAUCCAGGAGAGGUGAGUGGAAUUCCGAGUGUAGAGGUGAAAUUCGUAGAUAUUCGGAAGAACACCAGUGGCGAAGGCGGCUCACUGGACUGGUAUUGACGCUGAGGUGCGAAAGCGUGGGGAGCAAAC
rnacentral:rRNA from 1 species